AUUGAACGCUGGCGGCAGGCUUAACACAUGCAAGUCGAACGAGUGGCGGACGGGUGAGUAAUGCUUGGGAAUCUGGCUUAUGGAGGGGGAUAACUACGGGAAACUGUAGCUAAUACCGCGUACCAUAGGAUGAGCCCAAGUGGGAUUAGGUAGUUGGUGAGGUAAAGGCUCACCAAGCCGACGAUCUCUAGCUGGUCUGAGAGGAUGACCGGCCACACUGGGACUGAGACACGGCCAAGACUCCUACGGGAGGAAGCAGUGGGGAAGAUUGCGCAAGGGGGGCAACCUGACGCAGCCAUGCCGCGUUAAUGAAGAAGUUCUUCGGAUCGUAAAACUCUGUUAUUAGGGAAGCGGUACCUAAUCAGAAAGCCACGGCUAACUACGUGCCAGCAGCCGCGGUAAUAC
rnacentral:rRNA from 1 species